AGACUACCUGACUGUGCAGGCUCCACACACAGGGAGCUAUGGGGGAUUUGAACCUGGGUCCCUGGGUUGUGAGGCAGCAGUGCUGAUCUCUGUGCUAUCCGGCCACCCCCCUCCUAUUGUCCCCUGUCGGUAACUGAUGUAUUUGCUUUCUUUAGGCUCCAGCUCAUAUUCACAGUGAUCAGUGUUCUAAGUUGUCAGUAACUGUGGUGCCUGCAGUUUGGACUGGGUAGUCUGUGUGAAGCUAAGUAGGACUGUGUCUGGCCAGUGGUUGGAGUUGGGUUGUUGGUCUGUGAAGAUCCUGGUGCUAUCCAAUGUAUCUACAAUGACACUAAUUAACUACUUUCCAUCUAGUUAGUUAGUACAAUGACACUAACUACUUUCAUUUUAUGUCACUUUACUUGCUCUGUUCCCCCCCCAGUACUGCAAGCGUCUGGCCCUGGAUAGGCCACUGCAGUUCUCGCAGGCAGACAUGCCCAGAAUCCGCAAGCGGAUCUACAAGGAGCUCUGUGAAUGCAAACUUAUUGACUGAGAGUAUAGUGAUGCCUACAGCCACCCAUCUAUCUCCUGAAAUCAUUUGUUGUGGGGGGGGGGGUCCAGAGUCCAUGGGAUGAAAGCAGGGUUGCCACAAUUUUUUUCAUUAUUAUUAUUUUUUUAUUUUAUAUUUUUUGCACUCAUACAUGGGGGGGUGGUUGACGAACUGGCAUACCUUGAGGAAACCCCACACUGACACAGGGAGAACAUGCAAACUCCACACAGGACCUUGGCAGGGAUUUGAACGCUGGUCCUUUAGGUGCAAGGCCCAGUGCUAACCACUGCGCCCCCCCCCCCCCAAUCUGCUGACGGGAAAGUUAGAACCUGCUGCCAGCUGCUCGUUACAAUGAUCACAUCCCUGAUGGCGACAGCCGACGUCGUCAGAUUGGUGCCGUUAGGAGCCGUCGUGCUGAUUUCCCAAGAGCAAACCGUGUAGCAGCAUCAGCGCUGUCGCCUCCCCUCUGACUCCAUUCAAACAUCCACAGCCGGUUCUUACCCAGCGAUGAGUCUCCAUGAGUUUAGGCAGGAGUUACGCGCUGGUCAGAUGCUUGCCUGCCUUGUGAAGCAUUACACAAAGUGCAAUGUUGCACCCUCAGAUGUGACUUUUGCAGUUUUCCCUUCCACAGUCUGCCUAAGUGCAUACCACUGUGGCUUAACAGACUUCCUGGUGUCUAAAGUGAAUCUCUCCACAAGCUUAUACCAAACACCAUGAUCCCAGCAUGCUUGGUCUGUGAGGCAACACGUGGGAAGGACCGAUCCUUAGGAAUGAAGGCUGGUAAAAGAUGCCAUAAAUAUUUAAUCAAUGCAGCGUGUUGCACUGAAGCCCAGAGUUGGUGGAGUUGUAAUGUGCUGUCUGUUAGGCUUCAUUAACCUAUUUCCCAGUUAAGGAGGCAGUGACCAAGUAACCCCACCCACCCUGUAUGAAAAAGGCAAACAUCCAUUUAAGGUGACUGACCAUUUCAUUCCAUCUGUUAGCUAAUAAAACAGUUUGCAGUGUGUGAUCAGUUUGUACAAGCAUUUCAAACGUUAGCUGUAUUACAAUAAAGUGUCCUCAAGUCAGA